rnacentral:misc_RNA from 1 species
UAACUUUAAAGUGGAGCACCGG